AUGGGUAAUUCAAGAAGCAAGGCGGUUGAUCAGCAAACAGAAGAGGAUGUUACUACGGGCCUUACCAGCUCUACAAUAGUUGAAGAUAACAAUGCAAGCGUCUUACCCAGGUCUCAAAAUGUUGGGGAAAACUCAACGGUGGUUCCAAAUCCAUCGUUGUCUCUUUCGGACGGAGAUCAAAAUGUGGAUACCUUCACAACUCCUAAUCUACAUAAUUUGGAAAUUAACAAAUAUGUUAACGGCGGUGAACCUCCAAACGAAGAUAUCGAUGUUGCGACAAAGCUAACAGACGACAUCAGGUCCAUCGAUCGAAUCCAUAUAUCAAAUGAACAAUUGAACACAGAAAGGCCUGCAGCUUAUCAUAAGGAACCAGUCCAAUAUGAUGUUCAACAGACAUCAUAUCCGAAACCUGAUCAUCUGAAACUUAACAACGCGUGGAGGCGGGAAUCUUAUCGCAUUUGGUCGACACAGGGUUUGAUAAAAAAACAAGUCGAUAGCCAUAUGCUUCAACGUCGUACGCUAGGUGAUAUCAUGAAUGUUCGUCAACCUAAUCGUGUGAACUCGGCAGAUAACUUGAAUGUCACUAAAGAAAAUACGGCAAUAACGGAAGAAGAACGCAAAAGAGAACAUAGAAACGCCCUGAGGAGAGCUUCUUAUCGGAGGAAAAAGGAACGGGGUCUCCAAGAAGGUAAACUCCGGACCCAUCCUAGCUCCGCCCAUACAACGUUAUCGCUGUCUGACACAGCAUUUACUGUUACAACUACGGAGACAUCCGGUCUGGUUAACGACAAUGAUCUACAUGACGUUGAGGAGACUAUACUUGAAGAAACUUGUCAUAUAAACGAGGAAGAUCGCAAGAGAGAUCAUAGAAAUGCACUAAGGAGAGCAGCUUAUCGGAGGAAAAAGGAAAAGAUGAUAGCAGACGAAAAUAUAAGUGCAAUAUCUAAUUCAGACUUAUUGCAUGAUGAUGCAACAUUACCCCCUAAGUCAUUAGACGCCUCCGUUCUUACCCAUGACAACGACCUAGCUAAGAGGAUACAGGGAAACUCUCGUAGCCAAGCAUGUUAUCAGAAGCAAAAUGUAGAACGGACAGUUGAGGAUAGAGAGGAUUUGAAUGGAAAUGUACGAGGGAAGCGCGUGCAGCGCCGCAAAAGCAUGUCGGAGAUUGACAUGGGGCAGUCAAGUGCUCAAAGGAAGGCCAGUUAUGCUAAAAGGAAAAACACCCCGUGCAAAGAAUCCCUCGCACUCCCACGUCCAGACAUUACUAACCUAAUAUCUGAUAGUCUCGCAAUUCCCCUUUCUCGGUCUGCCGAAGUUGAUUCAUCAGAUGGUGACCCUCCUCCUGUCAUGCCGAAUUACGGUGUUUGCACCAAUGACGACAUCGAUGUGUUAGCUGCGCCCAUCAUGGGCGAUGAGCCGACACCAGCCGAAUUGAUGGAUGAGGAGUACUACAUGUAUCGCGGCCAAGGAUCGGAUAAUGACACGUUCGAGGGUGACGAGGAAACGAGCAUGUCGUCUGUUAUACCUAGCGAGGUUGAUCCAUUAGACUGUGUGUACACAAACAUACCAGACAAGACCCACAUCCUGAAGCUCGAUGGAAACUGCACACACUGCAAUGCCAGAAAGUUUGUGUCUGAGACUGACAGAUUCUGCUGUCGCAAUGGACAGAUCGAGCUUAAACAGCCGGAACCAAUCCCAGAGCUUAUGAGGCUAUGGUCCAGCAUGGAUGCCGAUUCUAGACAUUUUCGUGAGAACAUACGGUUCUUCAAUGAGCAUUUCGCCUUCACAACCCUUGGCGUCAGCCUUGAUGAGAACUACACAAACAUGAAGUCUGGUGUGUACACAUUCCGGGCACACGGAACCAUCUAUCACAAUGUGCAUUCGUUUGGGCCUAGCUCACGUCCAGAACAUUUGCAGUUGUACUUCUAUGAUGAUGACCCAACCUUAACUCAUCGUAAGGCGGCCACAAAGCAAUUAGACCAAGAUGUUGUGAAGAAGAUAGUAGACAUACUUAAAGAAAACCCAUACUCCCAGCAAUUUAGGAGUUUGGGUGCGCACAAGGACAACCUUGAUGAUUAUAGGAUUAACCUAAACACCGAUAAGAGGCUAGACCAAAGAGUGUAUAAUAGACCAUUGUCAUCUGAGGUUGCUGCAAUUUGGGUUGAGGGCACCGACCUGGCAAAAAGGUUUGACAGGAGGAUAACACUUUAUGGCAACAACAAUGAAAGGCAUAGUAUACGCGUGUCAUCCGGAGCAUAUGACCCGUUGUCUUAUCCCCUAUUCUAUCCAAGGGGGGAAUUAGGUUGGCAUCCGAAACUACCUAAACGUAAUGUUCCUUGGGAGGCUGUACUACAUCCUCAACUGGUCCUUGAUGAUGAUGAUGAUGAUGAUGCAGAGGGUAAUAGCAGGUUGUGCGUCUCCGUCAGAGACUACUACUGUUAUAUGCUGCAAACACGACCUGCAAUCUUCAACCCUAUACUCUGUUGA
rnacentral:rRNA from 1 species